CACCAGUGUGGGCCAGGCUGACAUGGGCAUUUACUGCUGUAUGGCACGAAAUGUGGCCAAUGCCUGCCACAGCCAGGAUGCUCAGCUGACCUUGAAGGUGGGAUCCCCACAGCUGCUGCAGGAACUCGAGAUCCUGUCUGGGCCUCAGAACCUGACUCUCAAGCACACUGAUGCUGGCAGGGAUCUCAGCCAAGGAUGAGGCCAUCUACCAAUGUGUGGCAGAGAACAGUGCAGGCUCCAACCAGGCUAGUGCCCGCCUGGCUGUGACAGGAGACCUUGAGCCACCCCCUGCCUCCAAGGGUCUGCAGGCAGUGGCUCUCUCCCCUUCUGCCAUCCAAGUGUCCUGAGAACAUCAUCAGCUAUGUGCUGCACCUCCAGCCUGUGGGAGACAGGGUCCCAUGAGUGCCGGGCAGUGCCUCAGACUGUCUUGGACAGAGCAAGGGACCACAGAGGCCAGGCUCCAAGUGGACGGAAGCUGGGGGAGAAGACUGAACUCAUCACCCAGGUGAGGGGGAUUAAAGGGAGGGGAAAGUGGUGUGCUUGAGGCCCUGGGUCUGGGUCUGACCAUCUCCUUCCCGCUCAGGUGAUCAGCCUAAGGGCUCCCUCCCAGAUGCCACUAACUCCAGCCCUACCAAAGAAUGUACCUCACCUUUGAGUCAGAAAAGGUCCCUCAGCCCUUCUCUGGGGAGGUGCAGGACCGACCACAGGGAGAGAGAAGAGGGUGUGAUUUCUCUAUUUCUCUCUUCUCCUCAAGAAAUGGGGGGUAUCUGUGUCUUCCCCAACACACCAAAUAACCUCAAACUAAACCAGGCUCAGGUGGGAGUCCUCCCCAACUUGUUAGUCCUGCCUCCUGACCCCACUGAAUCUAUCCUCUUGAUCUAAAUAUGAACUAACCAAAGAUACCUAGCUAUAAGGGUUCCUCCCAAGAGGGGAGGCAGGGCAAGGGACUCUGUCAGUACCUCCAUGGACCAACUCCAGCCCCUAGCCUUGCUCAUGCCCAAGCUGGGGUCUGACCCCAGGAAAGGCACCCUGCAUUCCUGGUGGACUGAAUGGGCAGGUAGACAAAGGGGCUGCUCAGUAUCUUGCCCCCCUUGUCCCAACACCAGAAGAGUUCUGAAUACCUGAGCUCACAUGCU
rnacentral:lncRNA from 1 species